rnacentral:rRNA from 1 species
CCUCCUACGACUCGGCCGCGUCGACGAUGGAUACUAGGUGUUGUCUGUAUCGACCCCGGACAGUGCCGUAGCUAACGCGUUAAGUAUCCCGCCCUGGGGAGUUACGCACGCAAGUGUGAAACUCCAAGGAUUGACGGGGCCCGCACAAGUGGUGGAGCAUGUGGUUUAAUUCGAUGAUACGCGAGGAACCUUACCUAGGCUAGAAUGCGCGUGACCGGCUCAGAGAUGAGCCUUUCCUUCGGGACACAAAGCAAGGUGCUGCAUGGCCGUCGUCAGCUCGUGCCGUGAGGUGUUGGGUUAAGUCCCGCAACGGUCGACGCGGCC